rnacentral:rRNA from 1 species
UACGUAGGUGGCAAGCGUUGUCCGGAAUCAUUGGGCGUAAAGCGCGUGUAGGCGGCCUUGUAAGUCCGUUCUGCAAGUCCGGGGCUCAACCCCGGGAGGCGGAUGGAUACUGCAAGGCUCGAGUCCGGAAGAGGCAAGUGGAAUUCCCGGUGUAGCGGUGAAAUGCGCAGAUAUCGGGAGGAACACCAAUGGCGAAGGCAGCUUGCUGGGACGGUACUGACGCUGAGACGCGAAAGCGUGGGGAGCAAACAGG